UACGUAGGGUGCAGGCGUUAAUCGGAAUUACUGGGCGUAAAGCGUGCGCAGGCGGUUUCUUAAGUCAGAUGUGAAAGCCCCGGGCUUAACCUGGGAACUGCGUUUGAAACUGGGAGACUUGAGUGUGGCAGAGGGGGGUGGAAUUCCACGUGUAGCAGUGAAAUGCGUAGAUAUGUGGAGGAACACCGAUGGCGAAGGCAGCUCCCUGGGUUAACACUGACGCUCAUGCACGAAAGCGUGGGGAGCAAACAGG
rnacentral:rRNA from 1 species